UCCUAACAAUCAAGUGAUAACAAGACAGUGUUCUGUUUUGUUUCAGCACCAUCUGAUUUCUGACCCACCUUGAGAGUUAGACCCCUGCUUAUCUCAAAGCAAGCUGCCGGCUGGUUCUUCUUCAUUGUCAAUGUCACUGGAUCUGAAGUCG
rnacentral:lncRNA from 1 species